UAAGGGCGCACGGUGGAUGCCUUGGCACUAGAAGCCGAUGAAGGACGUUACUAACGACGAUAUGCUUUGGGGAGCUGUAAGUAAGCUUUGAUCCAGAGAUUUCCGAAUGGGGAAACCCAGCAUGAGUUAUGUCAUGUUAUCGAUAUGUGAAUACAUAGCAUAUCAGAAGGCACACCCGGAGAACUGAAACAUCUUAGUACCCGGAGGAAGAGAAAGAAAAUUCGAUUCCCUUAGUAGCGGCGAGCGAAACGGGAAGAGCCCAAACCAACAAGCUUGCUUGUUGGGGUUGUAGGACACUCUAUACGGAGUUACAAAGGACGACAUUAGACGAAUCAUCUGGAAAGAUGAAUCAAAGAAGGUAAUAAUCCUGUAGUCGAAAAUGUUGUCUCUCUUGAGUGGAUCCUGAGUACGACGGAGCACGUGAAAUUCCGUCGGAAUCUGGGAGGACCAUCUCCUAAGGCUAAAUACUCUCUAGUGACCGAUAGUGAACCAGUACCGUGAGGGAAAGGUGAAAAGCACCCCGGAAGGGGAGUGAAAUAGAACCUGAAACCGUGUGCUUACAAGUAGUCAGAGCCCGUUAAUGGGUGAUGGCGUGCCUUUUGUAGAAUGAACCGGCGAGUUACGAUUUGAUGCAAGGUUAAGCAGUAAAUGUGGAGCCGUAGCGAAAGCGAGUCUGAAUAGGGCGUUUAGUAUUUGGUCGUAGACCCGAAACCAGGUGAUCUACCCUUGGUCAGGUUGAAGUUCAGGUAACACUGAAUGGAGGACCGAACCGACUUACGUUGAAAAGUGAGCGGAUGAACUGAGGGUAGCGGAGAAAUUCCAAUCGAACCUGGAGAUAGCUGGUUCUCUCCGAAAUAGCUUUAGGGCUAGCCUCAAGUGAUGAUUAUUGGAGGUAGAGCACUGUUUGGACGAGGGGCCCCUCUCGGGUUACCGAAUUCAGACAAACUCCGAAUGCCAAUUAAUUUAACUUGGGAGUCAGAACAUGGGUGAUAAGGUCCGUGUUCGAAAGGGAAACAGCCCAGACCACCAGCUAAGGUCCCAAAAUAUAUGUUAAGUGGAAAAGGAUGUGGCGUUGCCCAGACAACUAGGAUGUUGGCUUAGAAGCAGCCAUCAUUUAAAGAGUGCGUAAUAGCUCACUAGUCGAGUGACACUGCGCCGAAAAUGUACCGGGGCUAAACAUAUUACCGAAGCUGUGGAUUGUCCUUUGGACAAUGGUAGGAGAGCGUU
rnacentral:rRNA from 1 species